CCAACGCGCCUUCCGGGUAGCCAUCGCCGAAACGGGGUUUGCUCUGAAGAGUGUUGUUAGGUAGACUCGCCGUGCACAACCUCGUUAUUCUGUGCUAGACAACCAAUGAGUGUACGUUAUCGGUGUAAGGACGUGGUUGAAUGUAGCCGAACUUAAGUGGUCCGAGGGUUCUGGCUAAGGGCGAGACUACAAGUCCCAGCAUACAACGCGGCCCUCCGUCGCGCCGCUCCCAGCAUGUAGUGCGUGGUUCCCUCCUGCUAACCCUGAGGCUUACGACGAAUUGCGUGAGUUUUACUCAUGCUGUCUCCGCGCGGUUCUAGUAAAUCUUCGUCGCCACCCCCAAAAUCCUGGCCGCAGUCUCACUUUCUCUUAGGCUGAUUCCCCACCCGCCUCCUCUAACAAGACUCAGUUCUCCUUUUUUUCUUGACAGAGAGUCUCGCUUUGUCCCCAGGCUGGAGUGCAGUGGCGCGAUCUCAACUCACUGCAACCUCCUCCUCCCGGGUUCAAGCAAUUCUCUGCCUCAGUCUCCCGAGUAGCAGGGAUUACAGGCGCGUGCCACCACGCCUGGCUAAUUUUUUUGUAUUUUUAGUAGAGAUGGGGUUUCACCAUCUUGGCCAGGCUGGGUCUUGAACUCCUGACCUCGUGAUCCACCCGUCUCGGCCUCCCAAAGUGCUGGGAUUACAGGCGAGAGCCACCGCGCUGACCUCAGCUCUCUCCUUAAGCGUGUUAGCCUUCUCCAAACCUGCAGUGAACUUGCUGGUUCAGAAUGGGAGCCGUGCUGCCCAAAAACUAAAUUAGUAAAACUUGUGAGCGCCUACUGUGUGUCAUGCAUGUUCUAGAAUAUCUGGGAUACAGUGAUGCAUGAUACACCAUCCCUGCUCGGGAGGAGCAAACAAUGACUCGAGAGAGGCUCCUUAGCAACUAACAAUGUUAAAUGCUAUCACAGGAAUAAGCACUGUUACAGUCAUACAAGGUGAAGGAGUCAUUCCAUUUCUAAAAUGGGAGAGAGGAAGUUUGGGAUGUCAGGGCUUCUAAGAGGGAUAGCAGGAAAGCUGAUUGUUGGGGAGCCAGUAUUUUCUAUUAUGAAGCAGAGAACUCUUGAGGAGUGGAGUGGAUGAUGACUGGAGUGCAGUGGCACGAUCACAGAUAACUGCAGCCUCGACCUCUUGGGCUCAAGGGAUCCUCCUGUCUCAGUCUCUCAAAGUUCGGGAUUACAGACCUGAGCCACCGCGCCUGGCCGGAUGCAGAACGCCUGGCCCGAUGCAGAGGCUUUUGAGAAGAGGUAGAUAGUGCUGGAAGGCGUGCUAGGUACACCGCAAAGACUCCACAGCAAAUCCUGCACACAAAAUCGCGAAUGCUGCAGCCCAGACCCCACGCAAGCACCGCAGGAGACGUGGGCUGACAGCUGCGCCCCACGUGACCUCCCACUCGCGCCAGUCCGUCCCCUCGGUAUCAGGGCGUGGCCUCGCGGGGCGGCCGUACCUGGAUUGGCCGGGAGGCGGGACCGGUGGUGCGCGCGCGAAAGGAGAGGGGCUUGGGG